rnacentral:snoRNA from 1 species
GCUGCCCCUAGAGGCUUUCCUGCUGUGGCUGCUCUGUCACAGUUCUGUCAGCAGGUGGCAGAGAGGAGAGAUGCUUUGUCUAUGCUCAGUGUUUUUUGACCCAUGAACAUUUGAGUAAUUAGUAGCCUGACAUU